GUGGUCUCCAGGGUGAAGGAAAUAGGGGGAUGGAGGGACUGGGAGAGGAUUUCUCCUUCCCAAAGCUUGGGCAGAUGAAGGAGGCUGUGAGGAAGAGGAAGAUACCACGGGCCCCCCGGGCAGGCCCCGAGCUGAGGACGGAGGGCACGGAGGACAAAUCCCCCCGGCAGACCCUGGUGGGAGAGGCUGUUUUGAAGGGCUCCACAGCACAGGAAGGCAGCGGGGAGGAAUAGGCCCGGAGAUCCCCCCGGAGGAGGGGCUCCAAAGCCAGCCCAGGGUGCUCUGAGGAGGAAAGACCCAGCCUGUGCCGGGAAGGCGGCCGGAGCUUGAGCCAGAGCUCCAAACUGGUGGUGC